rnacentral:rRNA from 1 species
UACAGAGGGUGCGAGCGUUGUCCGGAAUCACUGGGCGUAAAGGGCGCGUAGGUGGCGACCCAAGUCGAUGGUGAAAGCUCGCCGCUCAACGGCGAGUCGGCCACCGAUACUGGGUUGCUGGAGCACUGUAGAGGCAGAUGGAAUUCCGGGUGUAGCGGUGGAAUGCGUAGAGAUCCGGAAGAACACCGGUGGCGAAGGCGGUCUGCUGGGCAGUUGCUGACACUGAGGCGCGGACAGCGUGGGGAGCAAACAGG